CAAAACCAGCCCAGGCAUCUGCAAAAGUCUCUUCUGCCAAUUAUACUGCACAAAAACCUAUCGCCUAUCGUCCACCGCAUGCUAAGACUGCAGCUGUUAUUAAGGCAGAGUUGUUAGGAGAGAGCUCGGCAGAAACACUGAGCAAGAAUGCUUUAAAAAACAAGAAAAAGAGGGAGAAACAAAAGUAGAAAAAGGCUACUGCACAAUUCACAAUUCUUCUCCCGGACUCUUUCUAAAGCACCUCCUUAUUACUGCUAUAAAAUUCUUGAAAAUUUGAGGUUCAGUUUAAGUUUCUUAGAUUUAUUCGUAUCAUGAAUCAGAUUUUGGGUUGAUCAGAUUCUUCGAAAAAGCUAUUACACGUGUGCCGGGGAGAGCACUCAUGCUUAUCAGAGCCCCACAAAAGACCUGACUGCCAUAAACAAUCGAUUAAACACUAUUCCAGGGAUCUCUCCCUCGUGUGGUGUUUGUCUCUCUUUUCUCAUGCUUUUUAUUAUCACGUAACUCACUCUACUACUCUCGAAGUUACUGAUCAAUAUUACAAUACCUAUGAUACAAAAUGCUGAAUAUACGUUAAGCUUUAAUUCAAAACACAUCAAUGUAAGUCACGUUUUUGCUAUCCAUUGUUAACUAGACCUGUUUACAAUUUACCAAAUAAUCGUUCAUCUUGCGAAUUUCUGAAUUGAAGGCAACAAUGAGGAGUCCCAAAAGGGUCGUCAUAAAAGCUAGCAGUGCCGACAAAGAAAUUGUAGAUGGCUCUAGCAUCAGUGAUGGCAAAGAAAUUGCAGACGACACUAACAUCUUUGUCCACGAGAGUACUUAUCAGAAUUUGUUGCUAGACUUUCCAUCCAACAAUUCUUUUCCACAAGCAGAGCUCUUGCUUCCAACUUCUAGCUUGGUCAAGGAAGCACGGGUAGUAGCUCGGUACAGUCUCGUGUUACUCGUCCUUGAUUAAUCUUUACUAGGUUAUACUUGGAAGAGUAUGCACUAUGAACAUAAUUUUAUGUUUCCUUAAUGGUCCACUGAGCAAUACUUCCUUCAUGGGUCUCGAUUGUGAUACGGUCUUUGUAUUGCUGGAUGAGUUUUGUGGCAUGAAUGUUUAAGUCUA